rnacentral:rRNA from 1 species
UGAAUACGUUCCCGGGCCUUGUACACACCGCCCGUCACACCAUGGGAGUUGGUUUUACCCGAAGGCGCUGUGCUAACCGCAAGGAGGCAGGCGACCACGGUAGGGUCAGCGACUGGGGUGAAGUCGUAACAAGGUAGCCGUAGGGGAACCUGCGGCUGGAUCACCUCCUUUCUAAGG